GGAGGGGGGCUAGCGUUGUUCGGAAUUACUGGGCGUAAAGGGCGCGUAGGCGGAUCGUCAAGUCAGAGGGUGAAAGCCCUGGGGCUCAACCUGGGAAUUGCCUUUGAAACUAAUGGUCUAGAGUCCCGAGAGAGGAUGGCGGAAUUCCCAGUGUAGAGGUGAAAUUCGUAGAUAUUGGGAAGAACACCAGUGGCGAAGGCGGCCAUCUGGCUCGGUACUGACGCUGAGGCGCGAAAGCGUGGGGAGCAAACAGGAUUAGAUACCCUGGUAGUCCACGCCGUAAACGAUGUGUGCUAGCCGUUGGGGAACCUAGUUUCUCAGUGGCGCAGCUAACGCAUUAAGCACACCGCCUGGGGAGUACGGUCGCAAGAUUA
rnacentral:rRNA from 1 species